GACGAACGCUGGCGGCGUGCUUAACACAUGCAAGUCGAACGGAAGGGCCCUGCGUUUGUGGGGUUCUCGAUUGGCGAACGGGUGAGUGACACGUGUGUAACCUGCCCUUGACUUUGUGAUAACUUCAGGAGACUGGGGCUAAUACCGGAUAGGAUCUCCUGCUGCAUGGUGGUGAUUGGAAAGUUUCGGCGGUUGGGGAUGUACUCGCGGCUUAUCCGCUUGUUGGUGGGGUAGUGGCUUACCAAGGCUUUGACGGGUAGCCGGCCUGAGAGGGUGACCGGCCACAUUGGGACUGAGAUACGGACCAGACUCGUACGGGAGGCAGCAGUGGGGAAUAUUGCACAAUGGGCGGAAGCCUGAUGCAGAAACGCCGCGUGCGGGAUGACGGCCUUCGGGUUGUAAACCGAUUUCGCCUGUGACGAAGAGUGAGUGACGGUAAUGGGUAAAGAAGCACCGGCUAACUACGUG
rnacentral:rRNA from 1 species